UGGGGAAUAUUGCACAAUGGGCGAAAGCCUGAUGCAGCAACGCCGCGUGAGUGAUGAAGGCCUUCGGGUUGUAAAGCUCUGUCUUUUGGGACGAUAAUGACGGUACCAAAGGAGGAAGCCACGGCUAACUACGUGCCAGCAGCCGCGGUAAUACGUAGGUGGCAAGCGUUGUCCGGAUUUACUGGGCGUAAAGGAUGCGUAGGCGGAUUUUUAAGUGAGAUGUGAAAACCCUAAGCUUAACUUGGGGACUGCAUUUCAUACUGGAAAUCUAGAGUGCGGGAGAGGAGAAUGGAAUUCCUAGUGUAGCGGUGAAAUGCAUAGAGAUUAGGAAGAACACCAGUGGCGAAGGCGAUUCUCUGGACCGUAACUGACGCUGAGGCAUGAAAGCGUGGGUAGCAAACAGGAUUAGAUACCCUGGUAGUCCACGCCGUAAACGAUGAGUACUAGGUGUAGGAGGUAUCGACCCCUUCUGUGCCGCAGUUAACACAAUAAGUACUCCGCCUGGGAAGUACGAUCGCAAGAUUAAAACUCAAAUGAAUUGACGGAGUCAUAGCUGUUUUCCU
rnacentral:rRNA from 1 species